rnacentral:rRNA from 1 species
CCUACGGGAGGCAGCAGUGGGGAAUAUUGCACAAUGGGGGAAACCCUGAUGCAGCAACGCCGCGUGAGUGAAGAAGUAUUUCGGUAUGUAAAGCUCUAUCAGCAGGGAAGAAAAUGACGGUACCUGAGUAAGAAGCCCCGGCUAACUACGUGCAGGCAGCCGCGGUAAUACGUAGGGGGCACGCGUUAACCGGGAUUACUGGGUGUAAAGGGAGCGUAGAGGGCGAUACAAGUCGGAAGUGAAAGACCGGGGCUCAACCCCGGGACUGCUUUGGAACCGGUGUUGCUGGAGUGCUGGAGAGGCAAGCGGAAUUCCUAGUGUAGCGGUGAAAUGCGUAGAUAUUAGGAAGAACACCGGUGGCGAAGGCGUCUUGCUGGACAGUAACUGACGUUGAGGCUCGAAAGCGUGGGGAGCAAACAGGAUUAGAUACCCCUGUAGUC